rnacentral:rRNA from 1 species
CCUACGGGGGGCAGCAGUCGGGAAUAUUGCGCAAUGGAGGAAACUCUGACGCAGUGACGCCGCGUGCAGGAAGAAGGUUUUCGGAUUGUAAACUGCUUUAGACAGGGAAGAAUAAUGACAGUACCUGUAGAAUAAGCUCCGGCUAACUACGUGCCAGCAGCCGCGGUAAUAUGUAGGGUGCAAGCGUUAUCCGGAUUUACUGGGUGUAAAGGGAGCGUAGACGGAAGAGCAAGUCUGGAGUGAAAGCCCGGGGCUCAACCCCGGGACUGCUUUGGAAACUGUUUAUCUAGAGUGCCGGAGAGGCAAGCGGAAUUCCUAGUGUAGCGGUGUAAUGCGUAGAUAUUAGGAGGAACACCAGUGGCGAAGGCGGCUUGCUGGACGGUAACUGACGUUGAGGCUCGAAAGCGUGGGGAGCAAACAGGAUUAGAUACCCUUGUAGUC